GUACUCCUAAUCUUUUGGCAUCCAGGGCAAUGCCUUUCAAAGGAGGGCAUCAAGUGAACCUCAAGUUUAUUUAAAGCGUAAGCUUCCUUGCAGGUGUGUAUAAUUAUACCCCAACUCCAAAAUGCGGUUCCGAUGAGAGGGCGUGCCGGGUGCACGCGGGCAGCAGCUUGUCCUGGGAGGUGUACUAGCUUCCUGUGGCUGCAAGUUACUACAAACUGGGUGGCUGGAAACAACAGGAAUUUCUUCUCUGACGGUUCUGGAGGCCAGAAGUCUGAAAUCAAGGCGUUGUCAAGGGGGCCGCCAUUCGAUCCACUACGUGAGGCAGUAAGAAGCAUAUUCCCGAAGGAAUUGUUGAAAUAUUGACGGACUUCAGAGCUCCGUGAGCUGGGCGGACUCACAUGGCUGGUGUCCAUGCUAUCCAACUGUCAAUGGCUCAAAUCUAAAGCCAAUUUGUUUCGAGUACAACUUGUGGAGUCUAUGUUCCAGAAAGUCUGAAGAUAUUUAGAAUCUAGGAAUCAAAAAUUCACAUUAAAAGAUAUGUAUUCUCUCCCAAGUGUUCAUUUUUAACUGUCUCAGCUAUGGCCUCUCACGGAUGGAAUCUUCUUUUGUCUUUGCAUCUUCCAUACCUACCUCAUGGCUUGGUAAAGAGUAGACAUUACUUCAUUUCUUUGCACUCUGAUGAAGUUCAAAAUCAUGCAAAGGCAUCAGUGACUAUGUCUCCCAAAGAGCUUCGACAUCAGACCCCUGGGUCUUCCCAAUCUCUGCCCUGCUCAACCGCCUCAAUAGCUCCCAUGUGCUCUUGGCCUUGUCUCGUUCCAUGAAUGAUCGCGUCCAUCACAUACCCAGAACACGCAUGAUCUGCAAAGUUUGCCACCAAACAGUCGUGUGGGUGGAGGAGCAAAUCCAUAAGGAGGAAGAACGUGGCAGGGAGAGAUGAGAG
rnacentral:lncRNA from 1 species